UACGUAGGGUGCAAGCGUUAAUCGGAAUUACUGGGCGUAAAGCGUGCGCAGGCGGCUUUGCAAGACAGAUGUGAAAUGCCCGGGCUUAACCUGGGAACUGCAUUUGUGACUGCAUGGCUAGAGUUGGCAGAGGGGGGUAGAAUUCCACGUGUAGCAGUGAAAUGCGUAGAUAUGUGGAGGAACACCGAUGGCGAAGGCGGGUAGCUGGCCGACACUGACGCUGAGACGCGAAGCGUGGGA
rnacentral:rRNA from 1 species